GACGAACGCUGGCGGCAGGCUUAACACAUGCGAGUCGCACGACAACGCUCUGGCUUCGGCCAGCGCGAGUACAGUGGCGGACGGGUGCGUAUCUCGUAAAUCACGCUGCCCACAGGCGCAGAGGAUAACUCACGGGAAACCGUGGCUAAUACCGCACGUCUUCUGGACCCCUCAUGGGGACCAGAUGAAAGCCUUCGGGCGCCUUUGGAUGGGUCUACGUUGGAUUAUCUUGUUGGUGAGGCCACGGCUCAGCAACGCAACAAUCCAUAUCUGGUCUGAUAAGACGAUCAGCCGCACUGGGACUGAGACACGGCCCACACUCCUACGGGACGCAACAGUGGGGAAUCUUGCUCAAUGGGGUCACCCCUGAUGCAGCCAUGCCGCGUGGAAGAACACACCCCUAUGGGGCGUAAACUCCUUUUCUGAAAGAAGAAACCCCUGUACGUUCCUGGCGCGACCGUAUUUCAUGAAGAACCACCGGCUAACUCCCUGCCACCACCCGCGGUAAUACGGACGGUGCAAGCGUUGUCCUGAAUCACUGGGUGUGAAGGGUGCGCAGGCGGGGCAACCAGUCGGAUGUGAAACCCCCUGGCUCAACCAGGGACGUGCAUUCCAAACUGUUGCUCUUGAGUCCCGGAGAGGCUGUCGGAAUUCGUGGUGUAGCGGUGAAAUGCGUAGAUAUCACGAGGAACACCAGAGGCGAAAGCGGGCAGCUGGACGGGUAGUGACGCUCAGGCAAGAAAGUGUGGGGAGCAAACAGGAUUAGAUACCGUGGUAGUCCACGCUGUAAACGAUGAACGCUCGCCGUUGCCCCGCUCAAGGGGCAGUGGUUAAGUUAACGCGUUAAGCGUUCCACGUGGGGAGUACGAUCGCAAGGUUGAAAGUCAAAGGAAUUGACGGGGGCCCGCACAAGAGGUGGAGCAUGUGGGUCAAUGCGAUGCAACGCGAAGAACAUUACGUAGGCUCGAACGCUAGAGGACCGCUCCUGAAAGGGAGCUUCCCCUUUGGGGAUUCUAGCGAGGUAUUGCAUGGCAGUGGUCAGCUCGUGUCGUGAGAUGUUGGGUUAAGUCCCGCAACGAGCGUAACCCUUGUUGAUAGUUACCAUCGGGUAGUGCCGGGGACUCUAGCGAAACUGCGUGCGCAAGCAGUGAGGAAGGUGGGGAAGACGUCAAGUCAUCAUGGUCGUUACGCAUAGGGCUGCACACGUGUUACAAUGGCCGGUACAACGGGUAGCCACCUCGCGAGAGGGAGAGAAUCCCUGAAAACCGGUCCCAGUUCGGAUAGGAGUUUGCAACUCGAAUCCAUGAAGCAGGAAUGGCUAGUAAUCGCGGAUCAGCAAUGCCGCGGUGAAUCCGUUCCCGGGCGUUGUACACACCGCCCGUCAGGCCACUGGAAGCUGAGAACACCCGAAGUCCUGUGAGUCAACUCCGGCCCUGUGCCGGAGCGAGAGCGGCCGAAGGUGAGUUCAGUGACUGGGGCU
rnacentral:rRNA from 1 species